UGAGAAUAAAUUAUUAUGUCUUUCUAUGUAAUAAUUUUUUUUCCUGCUUUAGAUUGCUAAAACCGCAAAUGUUGACGAUUUGCAUUUGAAGAUAUUCAAUAAGAGAAAUUUUGAUUUUCAAAAGCUUCUCAAUAGUUUCUCAACAGUUAGUUAAAUUUAGUAAUUUCAACAAAAAUGUAUUUUUUACAAAAGAUAUUUCUGUUUGUGUCAAAAAGUUUAGCAAAUCUACAAAUAUUCAUUCUCAACAGUUUUUCAACAGUUUCUCAAGAGUUUUUCAACAGUUCGGGAAAUUUAAUAAUUUGAACAAUUAGUAUUUUUUACAUGCGAUAUUUCCAUUAGUAUGAAAGAGUUUGCCAAAUUUAAAAAUAUUACGUCUCAAUAGUUUCUCAACAGUUAGUUAAAUUUAAAAAUUUGAAAAAAUAUGCACUUUUUGCUAAAUUAUAUUUCCAUUUGCAACAAAAAGUUUACCAAAGCUACAAAUUUUAAUUCUCAACAGUUUCUCAAUAGUUUCUCAACAGUUCGGUAAACUUAAUAAUUUGAAUAAAAAAGUAUUUUUGACAAAUUACAUUUCCAUUUGCAACAAAAAGUUUACCAAAGCUACAAAUUUUAAUUCUCAACAGUUUCUCAAUAGUUUCUCAACAGUUCGGUAAAUUUGGUAAAUUGAACAAAAAUUAAUUUUUGACAAAUUAUAUUUCCAUCUGUAUCAAAAAGUUCACCUAAUCUAAAAAUAUUAAUUCUCAACAUUUUCUCAAUAGUUUUUCAACAGUUCGGUAAACUUAAUAAUUUGAAUAAAAAAGUAUUUUUGACAAAUUACAUUUCCAUUUGCAUCAAAAAGUUUACCCAAUAUCGAAAUUUAAUUCUCAACAGUUUCUCAAUAGUUUCUCAACAGUUCGAUAAAUUUAGUAACUUGAAUAAAAAUCAUCUGUAUCAAAGAGUUUACCAAAUUUAAAUUAUUAAGUCUCAACAAUUUCUCAAUAGUUUCUCAACAGUUUCUUAAAUUUAAAAAUUUGAACAAAUAUGCACUUUUUGCUAAAUUAUAUUUCCAUUUGCAACAAAAAGUUUACCAAAGCUACAAAUUUUAAUUCUCAACAGUUUCUCAAUAGUUUCUCAACAGUUCGGUAAAUUUGUAAUUUUAGCAAAAAUGUAAAUCUGACAAAUGAAAUUUCCAUUUUCAACAAAAAGUUUACCAAAGCUACAAAUUGAAUUCUCAACAACAGUUUCUCAACAGUUUCUCAACAGUUUCUCAAUAGUUUAUCAACACCUAAGUGAUACUAUUUUUCAUUAAAAAAUUAUGUUCCAGCAAAAUUAUUUCAAUUGAAUAAAUUUUUUUUUCAUAUCCUUUACUGUAGCUGCUUUAUGAUUUGAUUUUGAAAUUCCGUUAUUAUUUCGAAAACACCAAUUAUUUAAGGCUUAAACGUAAAAACAGAAAAGGCUUCGAAAACUUGUAAAAUGUAUCUAAAACCAGUAAUUAAGGCAAAAACAUAUUAUUUAUGAUUUACUGUAAGUUAGCUAAACAACAACAACAACUUCAAAGAGUGGCAGAAAGUGCAUUUCUAGAAAUGUAAAUACAGCAGCCAAGGAAAAAAGCAGAAGAAUGUAAAGCAAAAAAAAAACUAAUAAUAAAUAAGUGCUGCGUGUAUAAGAUAACUAAACGAAGAGCAAAGAGAAAAAAGGACAAAUAAAAUUAAAACCAAAACGUAUCAAAAAUACUUAUCGAAUUCUUAAUGUAAGCAAAAGCAAAAAAACAAAAACAUAUCUACAUAAGUAUAUAUAGUAUGUAUGUAUAAUAUAUGCAACUAAACGAAUUGAAUUUAAGUUUGUGUGCUAAUUAUGUAAUUGUAAUGAAUAAAAAAUAAUAAUAAAAUUUAAAAAAAAUUUGAAAAA